rnacentral:rRNA from 1 species
GAUCCCUGAAAGAUGAUCAGGUUGAUAGGUCUGAGGUGGAAGUGUGGCGACACAUGGAGCUGACAGAUACUAAUCGAUCGAGGACUUAACCACAUUU